rnacentral:rRNA from 1 species
AGUGAACGCUGGCGGUAAGCCUAACACAUGCAAGUCGAACGGCAGCACAGUAAGAGCUUGCUCUUACGGGUGGCGAGUGGCGGACGGGUGAGGAAUACAUCGGAAUCUACUUUUUCGUGGGGGAUAACGUAGGGAAACUUACGCUAAUACCGCAUACGACCUACGGGGGAAAGCAGGGGAUCUUCGGACCUUGCGCGAUUGAAUGAGCCGAUGUCGGAUUAGCUAGUUGGCGGGGUAAAGGCCCACCAAGGCGACGAUCCGUAGCUGGUCUGAGAGGAUGAUCCGCCACACUGGACCUGAGACACGGUCCAGACUCCUACGGGAGGCAGCAGUGGGGAAUAUUGGACAAUGGGCGCAAGCCUGAUCCAGCCAUACCGCGUGGGUGAAGAAGGCCUUCGGGUUGUAAAGCCCUUUUGUUGGGAAAGAAAAGCAGCAGGUUAAUACCCCGCUGUUCUGACGGUACCCAAAGAAUAAGCACCGGCUAACUUCGUG